AUUGAACGCUGGCGGCAGGCCUAAUACAUGCAAGUCGGACGGUAACAUAGAAAGCUUGCUUUCUGAUGACGAGUGGCGGACGGGUGAGUAAGAUUUGGGAAGCUACCUGGAUAGAGGGGGACAACAGUUGGAAACGACUGCUAAUACCGCAUACAGCCUCAGGGUGAAAGAAGCGAUUCGCUAUCAGAUGUGCCCAAACGGGAUUAGCUAGUAGGUGAGGUAAAGGCUCACCUAGGCGACGAUCUCUAGCUGGUCUGAGAGGAUGAUCAGCCACAUUGGGACCUGAGACACGGCCCCAGACUCCUACGGGAGGCAGCAGUAGGGAAUAUUGCACAAUGGAGGAAACUCUGAUGCAGCCAUGCCGCGUGUGUGAAGAAGGCCUUCGGGUUGUAAAGCACUUUCGGAGGGGAGGAACAAAUGACGUUACCCUCAGAAGAAGCACCGGCUAACUCCGUG
rnacentral:rRNA from 1 species